rnacentral:rRNA from 1 species
AACGAACGCUGGCGGCAGGCUUAACACAUGCAAGUCGAACGGGUGCAGCAAUGCAUCAGUGGCAGACGGGUGAGUAACACGUGGGAACCUUCCUAGAGGUACGGAACAACGCAGGGAAACUUGCGCUAAUACCGUAUACGCUCGAGAGAGGAAAGAUUUAUCGCCUUUAGACGGGCCCGCGUCGGAUUAGCUAGUUGGUGAGGUAACGGCUCACCAAGGCGACGAUCCGUAGCUGAUCUGAGAGGAUGAUCAGCCACACUGGGGCUGAGACACGGCCCAGACUCCUACGGGAGGCAGCAGUGGGGAAUCUUGGACAAUAGGCGCAAGCCUGAUCCAGCCAUGCCGCGUGAGUGAAGAAGGCCUUCGGGUUGUAAAGCUCUUUUACCAGGGACGAUAAUGACGGUACCUGGAGAAUAAGCCCCGGCAAACUUCGUGCCAGCCGCCGCAGUAA